rnacentral:rRNA from 1 species
GUCUAUGAUCAUACUACCCGGGACUUGCCUCACCUUGUAAAGCUAAGCAAGGUCAGAACUGGUUGGUACUUCAAUGAGGGACUGCCUGGGGAUAUUGGGCGCUGCAGGCU